UAAUUUGGGAAGACCCCAAAACAUUGGGAAAUAGAAAAGAAAAUGCAAAGAGAAAGUGAGCUGGAGUCUAACAAUGGCUGGGUGCAGCCGGUAUAUUUGUCUAUUCAGCACACGGUACAGACAAGUUCUGUGGGAUCCAUGCCUGGUUCAUUUUAAUGAACGUGAGCUUUUCCACAUUUGCUUUG